rnacentral:rRNA from 1 species
AAUGAACGCUGGCGGCGCGCCUAAAUACAUGCAAGUCGAGCGAGAAGACGUAGCAAUACGUUUGUAAAGCGGCGAACGGGUGAGGAAUACAUGGGUAACCUACCCUCGAGUGGGGAAUAACUAGCCGAAAGGUUAGCUAAUACCGCGUACGCUUCUUGGACUUCGGUUCAGGGAGGAAAGCGAUACCGUGGGUAUCGCGCUCUUGGAUGGGCUCAUGUCCUAUCAGCUUGUUGGUGAGGUAACGGCUCACCAAGGCUUUGACGGGUAGCUGGUCUGAGAGGACGAUCAGCCACACUGGCACUGCGACACGGGCCAGACUCCUACGGGAGGCAGCAGUAAGGAAUAUUGCGCAAUGGGCGAAAGCCUGACGCAGCGACGCCGCGUGGGGGGAUGAAGGU